rnacentral:rRNA from 1 species
GAUGAACGCUGACAGAAUGCUUAACACAUGCAAGUCAACUUGAAUUUGGGUUUUUAACUUAGGUUUGGGUGGCGGACGGGUGAGUAACGCGUAAAGAACUUGCCUCACAGCUAGGGACAACAUUUGGAAACGAAUGCUAAUACCUAAUAUUAUGAUAAUAGGGCAUCCUAUAAUUAUGAAAGCUAUAAGCGCUGUGAGAGAGCUUUGCGUCCCAUUAGCUAGUUGGAGAGGUAACGGCUCACCAAGGCGAUGAUGGGUAGCCGGCCUGAGAGGGUGAUCGGCCACAAGGGGACUGAGACACGGCCCUUACUCCUACGGGAGGAAGCAGUGGGGAAUAUUGGACAAUGGACCGAGAGUCUGAUCCAGCAAUUCUGUGUGCAAGAUGAAGUUUUUCGGAAUGUAAAGUGCUUUCAGUUGGGAAGAAACAAAUGACGGUACCAACAGAAGAAGUGACGGCUAAAUACGUG